ensembl:lncRNA SNHG14 small nucleolar RNA host gene 14
GUGUCUGUCAGCCAGUUUCCCAGCCCCUGGUGCACUGAAGCUCAGGCCUUUCCUGGCAUCCUGGCCUCCUGCACUGAGCUGUGUGAGUGCUUCUGCCCAGGCAGGCCACUUGGCAUUGACCGGUAUAGAUGGUGACCCUGAAGAAAGACUUCAGUUGGGCCUGAAGGCCCCGGGCCAGUGUCCAUCAUCCAGGUGCUCAGCUCCCAGUGCACUGAAGCUCAGACCCUUCCUGGUUCCCUGGUCUCUUGCACUGAGCUCUGAUGGUGAGACUUGAGGAAGACUUCCACUGGGCCUGCUUUUCCUGAGCCAGUGCCCAUCACCCAGGUGCUCAGUCCCUGGUGCACUGAAGCUCCAGCCCUUCCUGGCGCCCUGGUCUCCUGAACUGAGCUGUGUGAGCUCUUCUGCCAAGCGGUUCCCCUGGCAUUGACCAACAUAGAUGGUGAGCCUGGAGGAAGACUUGCGUUGGGCCCAAAGGCCCUAGACCAGUGUCUGUCAGCCAGGUUCCCAACCCCCGAUGCGCUGAAGCUCAAGCCUUUCCUGGCACCCUGGUCUCCUGCACUGAGCUGUGUGAGCUCUUCUGCCCAGGCGGGCCCCCUGGAAUUGAUGGGUAUAGAUGGUGACCCCGGAGGAAAAUUUGUGUUGGGCCCACUAUCCCUGGGCCAAUGUCAGUCAGCUAGGCACCCAGCCCCCAGUGCGCUGAAGCUCAGGACCUUCCUAGUGCCCUCGGCUCCUGCACUGAGCUCUGAUGGUAAGCCUGGAGGAAGACUUGUGUUGGGCCCACAGGCCCCAGGCCAAUGUCUGUCAGCCAGGUGCUCAGCCUCUGGUGCGCUGAAACUCUGACCCUUCCUGGCACACUGGUCUCCUGCACUGAGCUGGGAUUUUCCACCUAGGAGGUCCACCUGGCAUUGACUGACAUAGAUGGUGAGACUUCUGUCGGCCUCGCUUUUCCUGGGCCAGUGUCCAUCAGCCAGGUGCUCAGCCCCAGUGCACUGAAGCUCCAGCCCUUCCUGGCGCCCUGGACUGAGCUGUGUGAGCUCUUCUGCCAAGGGGGUCCUCCUGGCAUUGACCAACAUAGGUGGUGAGCCUGGAGGAAGACUUGCAUUGGGCCCAAUGGCCCUGGACCAGUGUCUGUCAGCCAGGUUCCCAGCCCCCGAUGCGCUGAAGCUCAAGCCUUUCCUGGCACCCUGGUCUCCUGCACUGAGCUGUGUGAGCUCUUCGGCCCAAGUGGUCCCCCCGGCCUUAAGCGGCAUAGAUGGUGAGCCUGGAGGAAGACUCGUGUUGGGCCCACAGGCCCCAGGCCAGUGUACGUCAGCCAGGUGCUCAGCCCAUGGUGUGCUGAAGCUCUGACCCUUCCUGACUCCGUGGUCUCCUGCACUGAGCUGUGAUGACCAUAUCCAGUGAGCUCUUCCAAACAGGUGGGCUCCCUAGCAUUGACCGACAGAGUGAGCUCUGCCACCCAGGACAUCCCCCUGGCAUUGACUGGCAUAGAUGCUGACCCUGGAGGAAGACUUGUGUCGGGCCCCCAGGCCCCAGGCCAGUGUCCAUCAGCCAGGUGCUCAGCUCCCAGUGCGCUGAAGCUCAGACCCUUCCUGGCACCCUGGUGUCCAGCACUGAGCUGUGUGAGCUUUUCCACCCAGGUGGGCCCCCUGGCAUUGACCGACAUAGAUGAUGAGACUGGAGGAAGACUUCCAUUGGGCCCACUUUUCCUGGGCCAGUGUCCAUCAGCCAGGUGCUCAGCCCCUGGUGUACUGAAGCUCCAGCCUUUCCUGGUGCCCCAGUCUUCUGCACUAAGCUGUGUGAGCUCUUCCACCCAGGAGGGCCCCUUGGCAUUGACUGGCAUAGAUGGUGAGACGGGAGGAAGACUUGUGUUGGGCCUGCUGUUCCUGGGCCAGUGGCCAUCAGCCUGUUGCCCAGCCCCUGAGGCGCUGAAGCUCAGGCCCUUCCUCACACCCUGGUCUCCUGCACUAGCUGUGUGAGCUCUUCUGCCCAGGUGGGGCCCAUGGCCUUACACGACAUAGGAGCACGCAUUUCUUGAAGUCCUGCAAAGGUGAUGGUGGUCCAGACAGGAGAGGGUUCCUUCAGCCCAACAUAGCGCAGCUCCCAGCUGAAACUCGGAAGGCUGGUCAGGCCUCGAGGACUGCCCAGGCCACAUGAGGGUUUGGUGGCCGGGAGGGCCAAUGAUGCUCUGCGUCUGUGUUGGAUCAGUGUUCUUCAUGGAUUCCAUCACAUGGUGAGCCUUGAGGAAGACUUGUAUUGGGCCCCCACAGGCCCCAGGCCAGUGUCCGUCAGCCUGGUGCUCACCCCCAGUGUGCUGAAGCUCAGACCCUCCGUGGCACCCUGGUCUCCUGCACUGAGCUGUGUGAACUUUUCCUCCCAGAUGGGCCCCCUGGCAUUGACUGGCAUAGAUGGUGAGACCGGAGGAAGACUUGCAUUGGGCCUGUUGUUCCUGGGCCAGUGGCCAUCAGCCUGUUGCCCAGCCCCUGAUGCGCUGAAGCUCGGGCCCUUCCUCGCGCCCUGGUCUCCUGCACUGAGCUGUGUGAGCUCUUCUGCCCAGGUGAGGCCCAUGGCCUUAAGCGGCAUAGAUGGUGAGCCUGGAGGAAGACUUGUAUUGGGACCCUACAGGCCCCAGGCCAGUGUCUGUCAGCCUGGUGCUCAUCCCCCAGUGCGCUGAAGCUCAGACCCUCCCUGGCACCCUGGUCUCCUGCACUGAGCUGUGAUGGUGAGUCUGGAGGAAGACUUGUGUUGGACCCCCACAGGCCCCAGGCCAGUGUCCAUCAGCCUGGUGCUAAUCCCCCAGUGCUCUGGAGUUUGGACCCUCCCUGGCACCCUGGUCUCCUGCACUGAGCUGUGUGAGCUCUUCCACCCGGGCGGGCCCCCGGCAUUGACUGGCAUAGGUGGUGAGCCCGGAGGAGGACUUGCGUUCGGCCCGCUGGUCCCAGUGUGUCCGGAAUUGGUGGGUUCUUGGUCUCACUGACUUCAAGAAUGAAGCUGCGGACCCUCGCUAUGAUGAUAUGGAAGAAAAGCACUCUUUGGCCUGUUGUGACUGGGACAGUUGACAGCACCCAGGUGUCCUUUAAUGAAAAUGCUCUUGACACCAAUGCAUCCUAGCAUCACAGCUUCAGGAAGCCUUCUCAAGUGUGCAUGGGGAGUACUAUGUCUUUCAUCAAUAAUGAAAUCUUCUGAUUUGUAAGACAUGCUGCCAAGAGAUGUGCCAUUCUAUUAUAAAAGAUCAGUAGCUUCCUUUACCGACGUGUAUAUUCUAUCUAGAACAUUGAGCUAUGGAAGACUCCCACCUAAGGGAAUUAGUUUUACACCUUCAGAUAAAGACUGCUGAGAAGAGCACCCUCUGGUGUUGUCACAGAGGCAAGUGCUACCGCACAGGCAUGCUGCAGUGAAUUUAACUGAUCCUCUGUCCCUGCAACCGUUGUUUAAGGAUGCUAUUCUGAAAAGACUGUGGAGGAAGAAAACCCUUUACCCUGUUGUUCAGGGAGAAACUGACACCACUCAACUGCCUGGCACUGAAAAUGUGGCAUCCAGUCCACUUUACCAUCAGUGUUUAAGGAAACCAUCUCUGAUAAGGAUGACUGAGGAAGAGUACUCUUUGGCUUGUUGACACCAGCACAGCUGACACACCCAGAUAUCUGUUUGGUCUCCUGUGAACUUUCAACCAGGAUUUAAGGAUGCCACUCUGGUUAAAAGCUGAAACAACUUCAAGGAAACUUCAGGGAAAAGAGAAGGCCUGGAAUCUGAUCCUCCACUUCAGAGAACAGGGUUCACUAAAAAAAUGAAUUUACAAGACAACUGGAAUAUAAGCAAUGAAUACAAGCACUAAGAAGAUGAAGCCAUAGAAACAGCUGCCAGAAAGUGAAGAUGUGACAGUGAACGCCAAACAAGUGGUGGAGUCUAUGGCCCUUCUCCUUGAAUCUGAGUGAAAUUAGUGAGUCUUUCAAUCCAAAGACUACAGUCAUACCUCAACUAUCUACAGAGGACUGGUUCCAGGACUCCCAUGGAUCCCAAAAUCCAAGGAUGCUUCGAAUCCCUUAUAUAAAAUGGCAUGGUAUUUGCAUAUAACCUACAUGCAUCUUCAAAUAUGUUAAACCAUCUCUAGAUUACUUAUAAUACCAAAUACAAUGUAAUGCUAUGUAAA